CAGUAGCCGCGGGAAUACGCAGGUGGCAAGCGUUGUCCGGAAUUAUUGGGCGUAAAGGGCUCGCAGGCGGUUUCUUAAGUCUGAUGUGAAAGCCCCCGGCUCAACCGGGGAGGGUCAUUGGAAACUGGGAAACUUGAGUGCAGAAGAGGAGAGUGGAAUUCCACGUGUAGCGGUGAAAUGCGUAGAGAUGUGGAGGAACACCAGUGGCGAAGGCGACUCUCUGGUCUGUAACUGACGCUGAGGAGCGAAAGCGUGGGGAGCGAACAGGAUUAGAUACCCGCGUAGUCCCUGUCUCUUAUAC
rnacentral:rRNA from 1 species